CUUUUUCAUGGUAUCCGAGAGGGACGAUCUAGGUCAAAUUCUGUAACAAUUUUCUACACAUACUAGUGAUUCUUCACUUCUUAUUGAUCAAAUAUAUUUUUCGACAAAUUUCUGAUCAUUAAUCAACUUGUUUGAUUUCAUAAGUUCUUCAAAAUCAUUCUGGAUCUUGAUUUCUUCAAAAUCUUGAUUUGUUGUCUUCAUCAUACUUCAAAUGUCGAAUACCAGAGGAUCAAUGAAUAAUCAAACUCAACAUAACUCAACAAUUCCUCCGCAAUCUUCAAUUCAAGAUCCACAAAUCGAACAACCGAUUUCCGCUGCUUCUGUAUCUGGCUCGGUGCCAUCCCUAACAACUGACUCAUUGUUAAACAAUACAAAAAGUGAUCUACAGCUGAGGAUGCAGGAAUGAAAUUUGUGGAUUUCAACUCUGCCUAUUUGACUUUUGUUCCUACAAAAUUUAUUGAUGAAUGAUGACAUGCUUCAGUGUUGUUUCCUAUUCAAGUGAUUGUAUCUUAACAUAACAUGGGGAGAGUCAAAUUUGGAUCCCCAGAUUAUCUACCAACUAUGCUAAUUAGUACGAACAAACUAGACUCCCUUAUACUU